rnacentral:rRNA from 1 species
CCUACGGGAGGCAGCAGUGGGGAAUAUUGGGCAAUGGGCGCAAGCCUGACCCAGCAACGCCGCGUGAAGGAAGAAGGCUUUCGGGUUGUAAACUUCUUUUGUCAGGGAAGAGUAGAAGACGGUACCUGACGCAUAAGCCACGGCUAACUACGUGCCAGCAGCCGCGGUAAUACGUAGGUGGCAAGCGUUGUCCGGAUUUACUGGGUGUAAAGGGCGUGUAGCCGGGUUGACAAGUCAGAUGUGAAUUCCUGCGGCUUAACCGCAGAACUGCAUUUGAAAUUGUUGAUCUUGAGUACUGGAGAGGCAGAUGGAAUUCCGAGUGUAGCGGUGAAAUGCGUAGAUAUUAGGAGGAACACCAGUGGCGAAGGCGGUCUGCUGGACAGCAACUGACGGUGGGGCGCGAGAGCGUGGGGAGCAAACAGGAUUAGAUACCCUAGUAGU